UCAAAGGUUAAGACUUGAGAGAUUUAAAUAGCUACGUAUUUUAUUAAACAUUUGUAUGCAUUUAAUCAUGAUCUGGCAAUUGAUUUUUUCAAUCAAAUAACUCAUCACUUUACUCUUUAAAGUAAGUCCUUCACUUGGCAACUUCCUUUUGUUCACGACACAACUCUAAAGCCUUCGAAUUUAUAUUUUUUAGUUUCUCUACCAAUUUACUAAAUAAUUCUUCUUCACUUUCUCAUGCCUGUAAUACCUGGAGGGGGAGUGCAUCUUAUGUUUGGUAUAAUUUCCCUUCUGUCUUGAUUUUCUUUGUGCUAGGUUGUCAUUCAUUAUGGUUAUUUACUAUGCUGGACUACUGGUCUAUGUUGAAUGUCUAUACUAUCACAUACUCCAAGUUGCAUCUUCUUUUUAUAUUAUUUUGGUCUCUCGGUUUGAUAAUUAUGUUUUGCAGACUUUGAUAUACUUUUAUGAGCCAAUAGAACUGGAACAAUAUCAACUUAUUGAAGGAAAAGUGACAUUAUCACAAAGCCAAGGAAACCACCGGAAUUUGAAUAUUGAACUUGUAUAUGUAUAUUGGGCUUGAUAUUUUAUGAAGGCAAACGACCAGUUACACAGAUGGUUUGAAGACAACAAUGCAUUUGAGUGUGCCAUUAAUAGGGAGUGGAUUUUAUUACCAUGUGGAGAUGAAGCAGGUCCUACGAAACCUAUAUGCCUAAGUCAAGAUGAGAUUAAGCCCUGCACAAUUGGUUUAAGGCCAAAAGAAGAGAAGGUCAAGCAGUUGGUGUCUCGCUAAGCGUGGCAUAUGCGCUUAGCGAGUGUCAUCCGCUAAGCGAGACACUCAGCUCGAUUAGCAUGAUGAGAAACCCUAGAAGAGGAUCAACCAGAGAUGUGCUCGCCCAGCGAGUCGUUUGUCUCUUCUCGCGCUCAGCGCCCUCAGCUCGCUAAGUCAAAUUUCACUAACUCGCGCUUAGCAAGCCAAUCACACUAAGCGAGCCUUUAGAAUCUAAAACGUCAAGGAGCCUUUAAAACACUGAAGUUGGCGGAAACUAAAGAGGGGAGUCAAAAAACAGAGCAAGAGAAGAAGUUAGAGCGACAAACCACCAGCCUCCAAGAGAGUCUAGGUUAGAGGGGUGAGAUUAGGGUUCUAGAGGUUGAAGGAGACAUCCUUAACCAUUCUCAACCAUUUUUUCCCUAAAAAUAUGUACUUUGUGCUAAACAGUCCAUUGCUUGUAAUGGAAGGCUAAAUCUCUUGUUGGGGAGUUCUGCUGAACCUUUGAUGUAAUACUCUUUUACAAUCUAUUUAAUGAUGUUCUUAUGUGUUCAUUGCUUC